UGUGCACACAUAUGGAGGCCGUAGUAGGAUU
rnacentral:piRNA from 1 species